rnacentral:tRNA from 1 species
GGGGAUGUAGUUAAAAAUAACAUCUAAUUUGCAAUUAGAAGGUACUUACCUAAAGUCUUCCUCA